CCUACGGGAGGCAGCAGUGAGGAAUAUUGGUCAAUGGGCGCGAGCCUGAACCAGCCAAGUCGCGUGAGGGAAGACGGCCCUACGGGUUGUAAACCUCUUUUGCCGGGGAGCAACGGGCGCCACGUGUGGCGCCACUGAGAGUCCCCGGAGAAAAAGCAUCGGCUAACUCCGUGCCAGCAGCCGCGGUAAUACGGAGGAUGCGAGCGUUCUCCGGAUUUAUUGGUUUUAGGGGGUGCGUAGGCGGAGCGUUAAGUCAGUGGUAAAAUUGAGGGGCUCAACCCCUUCCCGCCAUUGAAACUGGCGCUCUUGAGUGGAAGAGAGGUAUGCGGAAUGCGUGGUGUAGCGGUGAAAUGCAUAGAUAGCACGCAGAACCCCGAUUGCGAAGGCAGCAUGCCGGCUUCCGACUGACGCUGAAGCACGAAAGCGUGGGGAUCGAACAGGAUUAGAUACCCUGGUAGUC
rnacentral:rRNA from 1 species